rnacentral:rRNA from 1 species
UACAGAGGGUGCAAGCGUUAAUCGGAAUUACUGGGCGUAAAGCGUGCGCAGACGGUUGCGUAAGUCAGAUGUGAAAGCCCCGGGCUCAACCUGGGAAUUGCAUUUGAGACUGCGUAGCUAGGGUGCGGAAGAGGGAAGCGGAAUUUCCGGUGUAGCGGUGAAAUGCGUAGAUAUUCGCAAGAACACCAGUGGCGAAGGCGGCUCACUGGUCCGGUACUGACGCUGAGGUGCGAAAGCGUGGGGAGCAAACAGG